rnacentral:rRNA from 1 species
GACGAACGCUGGCGGCAUGCUUAACACAUGCAAGUCGAACGGAAAGGCCCUGCUUUUGUGGGGUGCUCUAGUUGCGAACGGGUGAGUAACACGUAGGUAACCUGCCCUUGACUUUGGGAUAACUUCAUGACACUUGGGGUAAUACCGGAUAGGAUCUCCUGCUGCAUGAUGGGGGUUGGAAAGUUUCGGCGGUUGGUGAUGGACUCGCGGCUUAUCAGCUUGUUGGGUGGGUAGUGGCUUAGCAAGGCUUUGCCGGGUAGCCUGGCUGGGCGGGUGACCGGCCACACUGGGACGGAGAUACGGCACAGCCUCGUACGGGACGCAGGAGUGGGGAAGAGAGCAUUAGGGGAGGAAGGCUGAUGCAGCACAGCCGCGUGGGGGAUGACGGCCAUCGGGUUGUAAACCGAUUUCGCCUGUGACGAAGCGUGAGUGACGGUAAUGGGUAAAGAAGCACCGGCUAACUACGUG